GUAAAUAAUUAAGGGCGUAUGGUGGAUGCCUAGGCUCUCAGAGGCGAAGAAGGACGUGAUAAGCUGCGAAAAGCUCCGUUUAGGUGCAAAUAACCUUUGAUGCGGAGAUCUCCGAAUGGGAUAACCCAAUAUGUUGAAGACAUAUUAUACCGUAAGGUAGGCAAACGCAGGGAACUGAAACAUCUAAGUACCUGCAGGAGAAGAAAACAAACGUGAUUCCCCCAGUAGCGGCGAGCGACCGGGGAAAAGCCCAAACCGUUAUUGUUUCGGCAUUAACGGGGUAGUAGGACUGCAAGCUUGAUGAAAUAAAUGAAAUGGAACACCUUGGAAAAUGUGAUCACAGAGGGUGAUAAUCCCGUACAUGCAAGUUUAUGAAUCAUAGCAGACUCCUGAGUAAGUCGGGACACGUGUAAUCCUGACCGAAUCCGCCGGGACCAUCCGGCAAGGCUAAAUACUCCUGAGAGACCGAUAGUGAACCAGUACCGUGAGGGAAAGGUGAAAAGCACUUCGAACAGAAGAGUGAAAUAGUUCCUGAACCCAUACGCCUACAAGCUGUCGGAGCCGCUUCGUGCGGUGACGGCGUGCCUUUUGCAUAAUGAGCCUACGAGUUACUCAUCACCAGCGAGGUUAAGUACUUCAGGUACGUAAGCCGAAGCGAAAGCGAGUCUGAAUAGGGCGUCAAGUUGGUGGUGGUAGACGCGAAACCUUAGUGAUCUACCCAUGGGCAGGGUGAAGGUUUGGUAACACAAACUGGAGGCCCGAACCGGUAAACGUUGAAAAGUUUUCGGAUGACCUGUGGGUAGGGGUGAAAGGCCAAUCAAACUGGGAAAUAGCUCGUACUCUCCGAAAUGCAUUUAGGUGCAGCCUCUGUUGUUUUGUUCUAGAGGUAGAGCUACUGAUUGGAUGCGAGGGCUUCACCGCCUAUCAAAUCCGGCCAAACUCCGAAUGCUAGAACAUAAAGACAGGGAGUGAGCCAGCGGGUGCUAAGGUCCGUUGACGAAAGAGGGAGAACUCAGACCAUCAGCUAAGGUCCCCAAUUAUAUGCUAAGUUGGAAUUAAAACGGGGUGGGACUGCUUAGACAGCUAGGAUGUUGGCUUGGAAGCAGCCAUUCAUUUAAAGAGUGCGUAACAGCUCACUAGUCGAGCGGUCCUGCAUGGAUAAUACGCGGGCAUAAGCAUAUAACCGAAGCUAUGGGAUUGUAGAUGAUACAAUCGGUAGGAGAGCAUUCCAUUCAGCGUAGAAGCAGUACCGUGAGGUAUUGUGGAGCGGAUGGAAAAGCAAAUGUAGGCAUAAGUAACGAUAAUGCGGGUGAGAACCCCGCACGCCGAAAGAUCAAGGAUUCCCCGGCAAUGUCAAUCAUCCGGGGGUAAGUCGGAUCCUAAGGGUAAGCCGAGUGGCGAUCCCGAUGGUAAACAGGUUAAUAUUCCUGUACUGAUCAUAACUGCGAUGCAGCGACGCAGAGGUGACACUGCUGCGUACUGACGGAAUAGUACGUUGAAACCCGUAUUCUUUGAUACCGGUAGUGAAGCACGCCGGUAGAGAUGAAAGGUGAUAGUACCGCAAUGCUUCGGUUGCGCGGAUAAUGCAGGUAAGCUGACUGCCAAGAAAACCUGCUAAGCUUCAGGUAAUGAUCAUCCGUACUGUAAACGGACACACGUGAUCAGGUAGAAAAUACUAAGGCGCUCGAGAGAUUCAUGGUUAAGGAACUAGGCAAAAUGGUCCUGUAACUUCGGGAUAAAGGACGCUCUUGUGAAAGAGCCGCAGAUAAUAGGCCCAGGCGACUGUUUACCAAAAACACAUGGCUAUGCUAAUUCGCAAGAAGAUGUAUAUGGCCUGACACCUGCCCGGUGCCGGAAGGUUAAGAGGAGAGCUCAGAUGUAAGUCGAAGGUUUGAAUUGAAGCCCCGGUAAACGGCGGCCGUAACUAUAACGGUCCUAAGGUAGCGAAAUUCCUUGUCGGGU
rnacentral:rRNA from 1 species